rnacentral:rRNA from 1 species
GACGAACGCUGGCGGCGUGCUUAACACAUGCAAGUCGAACGAGUGGCGAACGGGUUAGUCACACGUGGGGACCUGCCCGAUAGAGGGGGAUCACUACUGGAAACGGUGGCUAAUACCGCAUACUAUCGGAUGAACCCAUAUGGGAUUAGCUAGUAGGUGGGGUAAAGGCUCACCUAGGCUACGAUCUAUAGCUGGUCUGAGAGGAUGAUCAGCCACACUGGGAUCGAGACACGUCCCAGACUCCUACGGGAGGCAGCAGUGGGGAAUAUUGCACAAUGGGCGCAAGCCUGAUGCAGCCAUGCGGCGUGUAUGAAUAAGGCCUUAGGGUUGUAAAGUACUGUCAGCGGGGAUGCGUUACCCGCAGAAGAAGCACCGGCUAACUCCGUGCCAGCAGCCGCGGGAAGAC